rnacentral:rRNA from 1 species
CAUCGAGACUCCUACGGGAGGCAGCAGUGGGGAAUAUUGCACAAUGGGGGAAACCCUGAUGCAGCCAUGCCGCGUGUGUGAAGAAGGCCUUCGGGUUGUAAAGCACUUUCAGUAGGGAGGAAGGUAGUGUAGUUAACACCUGCACUAUUUGACGUUACCUACAGAAGAAGCACCGGCUAACUCCGUGCCAGCAGCCGCGGUAAUACGGAGGGUGCGAGCGUUAAUCGGAAUUACUGGGCGUAAAAGCGCAUGCAGGCGGCCUGUUAAGUCAGAUGUGAAAGCCCCGGGGCUUAACCUCGGAAUUGCAUUUGAAACUGGCAGGCUAGAGUCUUGUAGAGGGGGUAGAAUUUCAGGUGUAGCGGUGAAAUGCGUAGAGAUCUGAAGGAAUACCAGUGGCGAAGGCGGCCCCCUGGACAAAGACUGACGCUCAGAUGCGAAAGCGUGGGGAGCAAACAGGAUUAGAUACCCUGGUAG